GAGUUUGAUCAUGGCUCAGAACGAACGCUGGCGGCAGGCUUAACACAUGCAAGUCGAACGCGUGUAGCAAUACACGAGUGGCGCACGGGUGAGUAACGCGUGGAUAUCUGCCUUUUGGUUCGGAAUAACCCCGGGAAACUGGGGCUAAUACCGGAUGGUUCCUUCGGGAUAAAGAUUUAUCGCCAAAAGAUGAGUCCGCGUACGAUUAGCUAGUUGGUGAGGUAAUGGCUCACCAAGGCGACGAUCGUUAGCUGGUCUGAGAGGACGAUCAGCCACACUGGGACUGAGACACGGCCCAGACUCCUACGGGAGGCAGCAGUGGGGAAUAUUGGACAAUGGGGGCAACCCUGAUCCAGCCAUGCCGCGUGAGUGAUGAAGGCCUUCGGGUUGUAAAGCUCUUUUGG
rnacentral:rRNA from 1 species